rnacentral:rRNA from 1 species
CCCUUAGAUGUCCGGGGCCGCACGCGCGCUACACUGAAGGAAUCAGCGUGGCUUUCUCCCUGGUCCGAAAGGACCGGGAAACCCGUUGAAUCUCCUUCGUGAUAGGGAUUGGGGCUUGAAAUUGUUCCCCAUGAACGAGGAAUUCCCAGUAAGCGCGAGUCAUAAGCUCGCGUUGAUUACGUCCCUGCCCUUUGUACACACCGCCCGUCGCUACUACCGAUUGAACGGUUUAGUGAGGGCCUCGGAUUGGUCUCGGCCCGCUCUUCACCGGGCGGCGCCGUUGGUCGAGAAGACGCUCGAACUUGAACGUUUAGAGGAAGUAAAAGUCGUAACA